ACGGCCAUACCAUGCUGAAUAUACCGGUUCUCGUUCGAUCACCGAAGUCAAGCAUCAUCAUCGGGCGCGGUCAGUACUUGGGAGGGUGACCACCUGGGAACACCGCGUGCCGUU